rnacentral:rRNA from 2 species
GCCUAUACAUGCAAGUCGAACGCGUUGGCCCAAUUGAUUGAUGGUGCUUGCACCUGAUUGAUUUUGGUCGCCAACGAGUGGCGGACGGGUGAGUAACACGUAGGUAACCUGCCCAGAAGCGGGGGACAACAUUUGGAAACAGAUGCUAAUACCGCAUAACAACGUUGUUCGCAUGAACAACGCUUAAAAGAUGGCUUCUCGCUAUCACUUCUGGAUGGACCUGCGGUGCAUUAGCUUGUUGGUGGGGUAAUGGCCUACCAAGGCGAUGAUGCAUAGCCGAGUUGAGAGACUGAUCGGCCACAAUGGGACUGAGACACGGCCCAUACUCCUACGGGAGGCAGCAGUAGGGAAUCUUCCACAAUGGGCGCAAGCCUGAUGGAGCAACACCGCGUGAGUGAAGAAGGGUUUCGGCUCGUAAAGCUCUGUUGUUAAAGAAGAACACGUAUGAGAGUAACUGUUCAUACGUUGACGGUAUUUAACCAGAAAGUCACGGCUAACUACGUGCCAGCAGCCGCGGUAAUACGUAGGUGGCAAGCGUUAUCCGGAUUUAUUGGGCGUAAAGAGAGUGCAGGCGGUUUUCUAAGUCUGAUGUGAAAGCCUUCGGCUUAACCGGAGAAGUGCAUCGGAAACUGGAUAACUUGAGUGCAGAAGAGGGUAGUGGAACUCCAUGUGUAGCGGUGGAAUGCGUAGAUAUAUGGAAGAACACCAGUGGCGAAGGCGGCUACCUGGUCUGCAACUGAC